rnacentral:rRNA from 1 species
GACUGGGAUAACUCCGGGAAACCGGGGCUAAUACCGGAUAACUCUUUUCCUCACAUGAGGAAAAGCUGAAAGAUGGUUUCGGCUAUCACUUACAGAUGGGCCCGCGGCGCAUUAGCUAGUUGGUGAGGUAACGGCUCACCAAGGCCACGAUGCGUAGCCGACCUGAGAGGGUGAUCGGCCACACUGGGACUGAGACACGGCCCAGACUCCUACGGGAGGCAGCAGUAGGGAAUCUUCCGCAAUGGACGAAAGUCUGACGGAGCAACGCCGCGUGAGUGAUGAAGGUUUUCGGAUCGUAAAACUCUGUUGUCAGGGAAGAACAAGUACCGGAGUAACUGCCGGUACCUUGACGGUACCUGACCAGAAAGCCACGGCUAACUACGUGCCAGCAGCCGCGGUAAUACGUAGGUGGCAAGCGUUGUCCGGAAUUAUUGGGCGUAAAGCGCGCGCAGGCGGUUCCUUAAGUCUGAUGUGAAAGCCCCCGGCUCAACCGGGGAGGGUCAUUGGAAACUGGGGAACUUGAGUGCAGAAGAGAAGAGUGGAAUUCCACGUGUAGCGGUGAAAUGCGUAGAGAUGUGGAGGACACCAGUGCGAAGCGACUCUUUGGUCUGUAACUGACGCUGAGGCGCGAAAGCGUGGGGAGCAAACAGGA